rnacentral:lncRNA from 1 species
UCCUGGUGUUAGAGGCAGCCUCAAGAAGUGAAGUUAAUUACUAGGAAUAAUAUUAUUAAUCGUGUCCUUUUCUUUUUCUUGCUCUUUAUUUUUAUUCCUGGGUAUGUUUGUGGUGUUUAGAUGAUGAUGUUGUUGUUAUGCUUUUGAUGAUGAUGGUAUUGCGGAAAAAAAACAACAAAAAUUCUGAUGGUUUGUGGAAUGUAUAUUAGAGAUAUGAUUAUCAUGUGGUUAUGUUAAUGGGUGUUUUUCAAAUUUGUUGCCGCUCUUUUCGGUUUUAUUUUGUUAUGUUUUUGAUGAUGAUGGUAUUGCGGGGAAAAAAACAAAAAUUCUGAUGGUUUGUGGAAUGUAUAUUAGAGAUAUGAUUAUCAUGUGGUUAUGUUAAUGGGUGUUUUUCAAAUUUGUUGCCGCUCUUUUCGGUUUUAUUUUGUUAUGUUUUUGAUGAUGAUGGUAUUGUGGGAAAAAAAACAAAAAUUCUGAUGGUUUGUGGAAUGUAUAUUAGAGAUAUGAUUAUCAUGUGGUUAUGUUGAUGGGUGUUUUU